UCUGCAAUAAGCCAAGGGUCAGGCACAGGGGUUCAGGGUAAGCCAGCAAGAGAACAGCUGGGUGGCCCAGAGAACACAGGUGUCCUCAGCAAGGAUACUCAAACAGUAUUCAGAGAUGCAGGAGACAGCCAGCGCUUCCACUGAACUUGACUCAUCUCCAUGCCUUCUACCCAAAUGCAGAAGGAUAGCAUAUGAGCCAUGCUGGGUGACAAGCAUUAUCUGCUUUAUCAAGUUCUGUCAAUGUGAGAGUCAGAACUGAGUUAGACUGGGAUGGGAAGUACCCUGGAACUUGGUUAAGCCCAGCAUCUAGUGCUCUGGUGAAUAUGGUCUGAUAUCUGGCACAUAACUUUGAUAUGUAACUUGCAUCAUUGAGAACAGAAGAGAUGUGAGCAAAGUGCCAAAGGACAGUGCUGAGGAUUUAAUGUAGACAGGGAAGCAGGAGGGUGGGAUUUGAGUAAGCAAAGUGCUAGAACAUUUCAGAAGGGAAUGACAACCGUAUGACUAAAGGUGGAUGCAGCUCUUCAAAGCUCCGUUGACCACCCCACCCAUCAGGCACCCAGUCCUUUUUCCUCUGCCAGAAAAUUAAUGACCAUCACAUGGUUAUGGCACACAGAUGCAAACAGAAACUCCAAGUAUGCUGUAUGAUAGGGAAGGGUUGUGCAGGAAGAAAGCUAUAUUUAGCACUUUUAUGGAAAUCGUACUGAACAGAGGCAGGGAUUACUGCAAUGGGAAGCAGUUACCAGAAUACCCACAAACAGGAAAGAAUUGUUUUAAAGAUACAAUGUUUUUAGUAGAAAUACUGUGAAUUCUUUGCCAGAAUAAUUGUAAAAUAACUACAAUCCCAUAUAUGUUAGUAACUAAAAUAAGGAUCUUUCACAUAUCUGGUUUAUAGCCCAUAAAGCACUUUAGAAUAAUUGUAUUCUAUGUGCUAUGGAAAAAAAUGAGUCCUACUCAAGACUCGAACGUAGAGCCUUAUAAAUGUUUUCUAAAAACAGGCUGGCUUUAACAAACAUGAGCAUGGAUAAAAACCAGCAUGGCUGAGCCUUUCUCUAUGAAGAAUGAGAAGUACUCGAGGGACACAAAGAGGGAAAGAUUCGUCACAAGAGAAUGGCGGUACAGAGCCCACAGAAAUCUCUCACAGGAUACAACAAGAACAGAUUUGUAAAGGAAUCCUGAAAGAUGAAGAAAACUAGCAUUUCAUGUGGAAAUGUGAAGAGCUGUGCACUCUUACGUAUAAGUUAUGCUGAAGCUAGGCCUUUAUUUUCUUUUCAUAACAAAAUCAUGUUAAGAAAUUUGUGUAGUAAAGCAUCGUGAGAUAAUGAACACCAAACCGUGCAGGCAUCAAUAAAAUUGAUGACAAUACAGGAGAUGGCAUGCUUUUUUUUUUUCUAUUUCAGACUGUAUAUGGGUGGUGGGCAAGAGGGACUAUGGCAACUACGAGUGGUCAGGAGAGUUUGUCACCAUCUCCAGUAUACCAUAGUUCUGACUAAGUGAGAAGCAGCUCAGCUUGCUAGGUUGUUGCUUUGUCAUGGAAGGAAUGUGGGAGUAGGUAGUGAGUAGGCGUGGGUGCCCAGGGCCUUAUAAAUGGGUGUUCUCUUUGCAGGCUUUCCACCUGAUUCUUAGAUUCCUCUGUCUAGGCUGAGUAAAACUAGAAAAUAAUGUUGGUAUAUGUAUAUAAAACUACCUCUCAGUUCUCUGCUUCCCUCCCAUGAAAAACAAUAAGGAAACUGGAGGAAAAAGCUGGCUUGGCUUUCUGCCCGAUUUUCAUUAAACUCACUACUCAAUGUCA